AGCCCCAGGCCAUGUCCUCCUCUCCUCCUUCCCUUUCCGAGGCCCAAACCCUAGCUCCGACCACCGAUCACUCCUCCGCUCCACUUCCUCCUCCUCUCUCCGGUGAUUCCGACCGGCCAAAUUCCUCCUCCGUGGUGGCGGUGGCGGCGGAGAGUGGUGAUGAGGAGAAGAACGGAGGAGAGACUGGCGAGGGCGGAGAGGAGGCAGAGGAGGAGGCGGAGUGCGGGUUCUGCUUGUUCAUGAAGGGAGGAGGUUGCAAGGAGGCGUUCAUCGCGUGGGAGAAGUGCGUGGAGGAGGCCGACAAGACCGGCGAGGACGCCGUCGACAAGUGCUUCGAGGUCACCACCCUCCUUAAGAAGUGCAUGGACGCCCACGCCGAUUACUACGCCCCCAUCCUCGUGGCCGAGCAGGUCGCCGCCGCCGCCGCCAAUUCCGCCUCCUCCCCAGGCCCUGAGAAAUAGAAGUUUGAAGGUUUAGAAGGCAAAGUACUUUAUGCUGGCUGUUGGAUGCUAAGUAUGAAUCCUAGCAUUAGUUGUUGUGGAUGGGCUACAAGCUUAGAUCAUCAAAUCAUGAAAGGUUGCCAAAGAUCAUUAUUUGUUCCAGUAGUCCAUCACCACCUUGCCAUUGCUCACAUCCACGCCGAUCAGCAGCCCCGCCCUCACCAUCCUCUGGGCCUGCACAAAUUAGUCUUUGAACCCCUGACAGAUCACGUCGUUAGAGUUCAGGUACAAAUUUGGAGACCAGUUGUACGGUCCCUUCCCCAGGUUAAAACCCUUCAAUGGGUCCCCUGCUAAGUUCUCAAUCUUUUGCUUCGCCCCUUUCUUCUUCUUAUCUUUCAUGGUCGCAAAGCAGGGGAAUGCCAGGUUAGAGAGGAAGGUGUCGAAGUUCUCGAGCUUCGAGUUGGUGGAGACUGGAGAGCAGCACAUAUGGCGGCAUAGGCUCCAAGGGAGUGGCCAGCCUGCCAUAGCUUUAAGAUGUCCGAUGAAUGUGUAUAUUUUGUAAUUCACAUUACUCUUUUUUUUUUGGUAAAUAUAACACUUUAUUAGUACUCACGAGCAGAAAUUACAAGCCUGAACGGUCUUGUUGCAAAAAUACAGCAGCAAGAUGGGUAACUGUUGCAAGGAGGGAAUAUAAAAGAGCACAU